CAGCACCUCAAGUGGUCAGGAUGAUUAUUGGGCCUAAAGCAUCCGUAGCCGGCUCUGUAAGUCUUCGGUUAAAUCUGUAUGCUCAACAUACAGGCUGCCGGGAAUACUGCAGAGCUAGGGAGUGGGAGAGGUAGACGGUACUCGGUAGGAAGGGGUAAAAUCCUUUGAUCUAUUGAUGACCACCUGUGGCGAAGGCGGUCUACCAGAACACGUCCGACGGUGAGGGAUGAAAGCUGGGGGAGCAAACCGGAUUAGAUACCCGAGUAGUCC
rnacentral:rRNA from 1 species